rnacentral:lncRNA from 1 species
GCCAUGGCUGAGUGCUAUAUAGGACUACAGAGAAUUAUCAACAGGCUUUUGCUUUAGCAAAUGUCAUGCUACCAGAAGAAUGGUGCAGUUUGUGGUGGCAUCCAGCCAGUGCCCUCUCAUGAGGAAGAAUCAAUUUGCAAAGUAUCAAGUCCUUGGGCUCUGCUGAGGAGAGGUGACCGCCCAUGAAAACCACUGACAUGAAAAGAAUGCAAGGAGAGCUGUCAUCUUGAUAAACAUGAGGAAACAGGAUAUGAAUGCAGAGAGUGGCCGUGGCUGUGUUUGAGCUGUGGUGCAGGGACAGGCAGCUCCUGUUCAGCAGCUCUGGUCUCUGCAGCUGCCUGAUCCAUACACAGAAUGUGGCUUUUUCCAUUUCCUGGCUGGAGGAGUCAAAUCAACACACCCUGAGCUGUGGCCUUACUGUCUGA